CUGGGUCCUAGCAUCAGGGUGCAGCGCCCUGUGCUCUUCUGCACCCUCUAUGGGCGGGUCCCGGCUCCACUACCGUGGCGGUGGGGGCGCGGCCUCUGGAAGAGGCGGGAACAGUUGGGAUGUCCUGGGUUCUCACCUGGUUCGCAGACCGGGACCCCGGCAUGGAAGCCAACCGCGUCUUCCCGGCCCCUCCGCGAUGUGCAAGGUGAGGAGGCCGAGAAGGUUGCAGCCACGCGGCGGGGGAGAUUCACGUGAGGGCAGAAAGACCAACUGCUGGGAACUGGAAGUAGUUCUCCGAUUGUCCAUACUGUGCAGUGAAUAGGGAGGAAAAUAUUGUCUUGGAAAUCAUCUCUGAGACUCUUUCACAAGCCCAUGAUCACAGGUGUCCCAACUGUGAGGGACAUGGGCAGUUGAGCACCAAACUGCUACUGAAGAAGGCUGCCUCUGCCCACGAGGACAAGGAUGAAGACGAGGACGAGUC